rnacentral:rRNA from 1 species
UACAGAGGGCUCAAGCGUUGUUCGGAUUCAUUGGGCGUACAGGGUGUGUAGGUGGCGCGCUAAGUCGGGUGUGAAAUUUCGGAGCUUAACUGCGAAACUGCAUUCGAUACUGGCGUGCUUGAGGACUGGAGAGGAGACUGGAAUUCAUGGUGUAGCAGUGAAAUGCGUAGAGAUCAUGAGGAAGACCAGUGGCGAAGGCGGGUCUCUGGACAGUUCCUGACACUGAGACACGAAGGCCAGGGGAGCAAACGGG